UACGUGUCGUCGUAUUACGCUUCGAAACGCGAUCGGAGAUACCGGAAAACGUGAGUAUUUUGUAUAAUUAUUAUAAAUAGGGAUUAUAUUAGCCCGCGUGAGUAAUUGUUUUUCGUGUUUAACGACUUGUAAACGUAACAAGGCGACGACCGUUUAUUGUGGUAAGUGAAGUUAGGGUUAGAUUGAGUUAUUUCGUGCGCUGUAUCUUAUUUCAAGAAGGAAUGAAACGGACGAGGAUGGGAAUUAUAGAAUCAUCAUACGAUCAUAGUUUUCGCGUCGUUCUCUUGCAAUAUAUUAAAGUGCGUGUCGCGCAUAUAUAUAAUUAACAUCGGGAGUGUCGUGCAGAUCGUAAUUAAUCGUAUUUCCGGGAAUGUUGCGCGAGUGCCAAUGCCAUACAAGAGCAGUAAAAGAUAUAGAUAUAAAAGAGGAAAAUGGUCAGAAAACGUCGGGCAACAACACAGCAAUCAUAAGAUCAACGUACAUUAUACUACCGCUAUUAGGCAUCGUUCA